GCCUGGGUGGCUCAGUUGGUAAAGCGUCUGACUUCAGCUCAGGUCACGAUCUCACGGUCCGUGAGUUCGAGCCCCGUGUCAGGCU
rnacentral:tRNA from 1 species